UACGAAGGGUGCAAGCGUUACUCGGAAUUACUGGGCGUAAAGCGUGCGUAGGUGGUUUGUUAAGUCUGAUGUGAAAGCCCUGGGCUCAACCUGGGAAUUGCGUUGGAUACUGGCAGGCUAGAGUGCGGUAGAGGAUGGCGGAAUUCCCGGUGUAGCAGUGAAAUGCGUAGAGAUCGGGAGGAACAUCUGUGGCGAAGGCGGCCAUCUGGACCAGCACUGACACUGAGGCACGAAAGCGUGGGGAGCAAACAGG
rnacentral:rRNA from 1 species